ACUGGGACUGAGACACGGCCCAGACUCCUACGGGAGGCAGCAGUAGGGAAUCUUCCGCAAUGGACGAAAGUCUGACGGAGCAACGCCGCGUGAGCGAAGAAGGUCUUCGGAUCGUAAAGCUCUGUUGUUAGGGAAGAACAAGUACCGUUCGAAUAGGGCGGUACCGUGACGGUACCUAACCAGAAAGCCACGGCUAACUACGUGCCAGCAGCCGCGGUAAUACGUAGGUGGCAAGCGUUGUCCGGAAUU
rnacentral:rRNA from 1 species